rnacentral:ncRNA from 2 species
AAAUACAUAAACGAAAUAGGUGUCUGAUCUAGGACUUAGAAGGGAAGUUGGUGAGUGCCAACGCGGUCCCGCCACUGUAUGAAGAUAUGGGAUGGUACCGUAACGUAGACCAUAAGCCAGGAGGCCUGCCUGUAUUCGUGCACCCAA